UGCAGAAAGUCAGCUAGAAGAUGGAGAUAUCAUUUGCUUUCAGAAAGCACUCCGUUUUCCAGAUGUGCCUUCAUAUUUAAGACAUAAGCGCAAUCGCAGGAUCGCCACGUUUGAGAAGCCAGUAAACAUUCAUAAUCAGGAAACCAAUUCCAAUGAGUUGUCAUCCUCCGUGGGAUGAAUUUGGAAGCAAACAAGUGAAAAUGCAUCAGCAUUUACAGGAUUUUAUU